rnacentral:rRNA from 1 species
GACGAACGCUGGCGGCGUGCUUAACACAUGCAAGUCGAACGGAAAGGCCCUGCUUUUGUGGGGUGCUCGAGUAGCGAACGGGUGAGUAACACGUGAGUAACCUGCCCUUGACUUUGGGAUAACUUCAGGAAACUGGGGCUAAUACCGGAUAGGAGCUCCUGCUGCAUGGUGGGGGUUGGAAAGUUUCGGCGGUUGGGGGUGGACUCGCGGCUUAUCAGCUUGUUGGUGGGGUAGUGGCUUACCAAGGCUUUGGCGGGUAGCCGGCCUGAGAGGGUGACCGGCCACAUUGGGACUGAGAUACGGCCCAGACUCCUACGGGAGGCAGCAGUGGGGAAUAUUGCACAAUGGGCGGAAGCCUGAUGCAGCAACGCCGCGUGCGGGAUGACGGCCUUCGGGUUGUAAACCGCUUUCGCCUGUGACGAAGCGUGAGUGACGGUAAUGGGUAAAGAAGCACCGGCUAACUACGUGCCAGCAGCCGCGGUGAUACGUAGGGUGCGAGCGUUGUCCGGAUUUAUUGGGCGUAAAGGGCUCGUAGGUGGUUGAUCGCGUCGGAAGUGUAAUCUUGGGGCUUAACCCUGAGCGUGCUUUCGAUACGGGUUGACUUGAGGAAGGUAGGGGAGAAUGGAAUUCCUGGUGGAGCGGUGGAAUGCGCAGAUAUCAGGAGGAACACCAGUGGCGAAGGCGGUUCUCUGGGCCUUUCCUGACGCUGAGGAGCGAAAGCGUGGGGAGCGAACAGGCUUAGAUACCCUGGUAGUCCACGCUGUAAACGGUGGGUACUAGGUGUGGGGUCCAUUCCACGGGUUCCGUGCCGUAGCUAACGCUUUAAGUACCCCGCCUGGGGAGUACGGCCGCAAGGCUAAAACUCAAAGGAAUUGACGGGGCCCCGCACAAGCGGCGGAGCAUGCGGAUUAAUUCGAUGCAACGCGUAGAACCUUACCUGGGUUUGACAUGGAUCGGGAGCGCUCAGAGAUGGGUGUGCCUCUUUUGGGGUCGGUUCACAGGUGGUGCAUGGCUGUCGUCAGCUCGUGUCGUGAGAUGUUGGGUUAAGUCCCGCAACGAGCGCAACCCUUGUUCACUGUUGCCAGCACGUUAUGGUGGGGACUCAGUGGAGACCGCCGGGGUCAACUCGGAGGAAGGUGGGGAUGACGUCAAGUCAUCAUGCCCCUUAUGUCCAGGGCUUCACGCAUGCUACAAUGGCUGGUACAGAGAGUGGCGAGCCUGUGAGGGUGAGCGAAUCUCGGAAAGCCGGUCUCAGUUCGGAUUGGGGUCUGCAACUCGACCUCAUGAAGUCGGAGUCGCUAGUAAUCGCAGAUCAGCAACGCUGCGGUGAAUACGUUCCCGGG